rnacentral:rRNA from 1 species
UAACUCCAGUUGAUCGUGCUGGAGGGUACUGCUAUCGAAGUCAGAUUAAGCCAUGCAAGUCCAUACGUGCCCAUGUACGUAUGGCGAACGGCUGAGUAACGCGUGGUCAAUCUACCCUGGGGUCGGGCAUAACCGCGGGAAACUGCGGGUAAUUCCCGAUAGGUGAGCGAUGCUGGAAUGCUUGUUCUCCUAAAGGAUGUGCAAAUUGGAGCAUAAUCGCCCUAGGAUGAGACUGCGUCGGAUUAUGGUAGUUGGUGGGGUAACGGCCCACCAAG